rnacentral:rRNA from 1 species
CUUCGGCCGUCCGAGUUGUAAUCUGGAGAAGCGUUUUCCGCGCUGGACCGUGUACAAGUCUCUUGGAACAGAGCGUCAUAGAGGGUGAGAAUCCCGUCUUUGACACGGACUACCAGUGCUAUGUGAUGCGCUCUCGAUGAGUCGAGUUGUUUGGGAAUGCAGCUCAAAAUGGGUGGUAAAUUCCAUCUAAAGCUAAAUAUUGGCGAGAGACCGAUAGCGAACAAGUACCGUGAGGGAAAGAUGAAAAGCACUUUGGAAAGAGAGUUAAACAGUACGUGAAAUUGCUGAAAGGGAAACGAUUGAAGUCAGUCGCGUGUGCUAGAACUCAGCCUUGCUUUUGCUUGGUGCAUUUUCUAGUGUACGGGCCAGCAUCAGUUUUGGCCGCCGGAAAAAGGCCUUGGGAAUGUGGCACCUUCGGGUGUGUUAUAGCCCUUGGUUGUAUACGGUGGCUGGGACUGAGGAACAUAGCAUGCCUUUACGGCGGGGCUUCGGCCACCUUCAUGCUUUGGAUGCUGGCGUAAUGGCUUUAAACGACCCGUCUUGAAACACGGACCAAGGAGUCUAACAUGCCUGCGAGUGUUUGGGUGGAAAACCCGAGCGCGUAAUGAAAGUGAAAGUUGGGACUUCUGUCGUGGAAGGCACCGACGCCCGGACCAGACCUUCUGUGACGGAUCCGCGGUAGAGCAUGUAUGUUGGGACCCGAAAGAUGGUGAA